rnacentral:hammerhead_ribozyme from 1 species
AUCUAACUGAUGAGUCCCAAAUAGAAAGAAACACGCGUCUUCGAU